CCAAUAGCGUAUAUUAAAGUUGUUGCAGUUAAAAAGCUCGUAGUUGAAUUUCGGGAUCAAUAUAUCGGUCGUGCCUUGGUACGUACUGGUAUCAUUGGUUUCUCCUUUCUGACGAACCUUGAUGUCAUUAAUUUGGUGUCUUGGGGAAUCAGGACUGUUACUUUGAAAAAAUUAGAGUGUUUAAAGCAGGCUCACGCUUGAAUACAUUAGCAUGGAAUAAUGAAAUAGGACGUUUGAUUUUAUUUUGUUGGUUUCUAGGAUCGACGUAAUGAUUAAUAGGGAUAGUUGGGGGCAUUAGUAUUCAAUUGUCAGAGGUGAAAUUCUUGGAUUUAUUGAAGACUAACUACUGCGAAAGCAUUUGCCAAGGAUGUUCUCAUUAAUCAAGAACGAAAGUUAGGGGAUCGAAGACGAUCAGAUACCGUCGUAGUCUUAACCAUAAACUAUGCCGACUAGGGAUCGGAUGAUGUUAAUUUUUUAAUGAUUCAUUCGGCGCCUUACG
rnacentral:rRNA from 1 species